rnacentral:rRNA from 1 species
UACGUAGGGUGCAAGCGUUGUCCGGAAUUAUUGGGCGUAAAGAGCUCGUAGGCGGUCUGUCGCGUCGGAUGUGAAAACCCAGGGCUCAACCCUGGGCCUGCAUUCGAUACGGGCAGACUAGAGUUCGGUAGGGGAGACUGGAAUUCCUGGUGUAGCGGUGAAAUGCGCAGAUAUCAGGAAGAACACCAACGGCGAAGGCAGCUCGCUGGGACGGUACUGACGCUGAGGCGCGAAAGCGUGGGGAGCGAACAGG